rnacentral:tRNA from 10 species
GGGGCAUUAGCUCAGUUGGUAGAGCGCCUGCAUGGCAUGCAGGAGGUCAGCGGUUCGAACCCGCUAUGCUCCACCA